rnacentral:rRNA from 1 species
GACGAACGCUGGCGGCGCGCCUAACACAUGCAAGUCGAACGGAGCUGCGAGAAGCUUGCUUUUCUUAGCUUAGUGGCGCACGGGUGAGUAACGCGUGAGUAACCUGCCCUGGAGUGGGGGACAACAGUUGGAAACGACUGCUAAUACCGCAUAAGCCCACGAUCCGGCAUCGGAUUGAGGGAAAAGGAUUUAUUCGCUUCAGGAUGGACUCGCGUCCACUUAGCUAGUUGGUGAGGUAACGGCCCACCAAGGCGACGAUUGGUAGCCGGACUGAGAGGUUGAACGGCCACAGUGGGACUGAGACACGGACCAGACUCCUACGGGAGGCAGCAGUGGGGGAUAUUGCACAAUGGGGGAAAACCUGAUGCAGCGACGCCGCGUGGAGGAAGAAGGUGGUCGGAUUGUAAACUCCUGUCGUUAGGGACGAUAAUGACGGUACCUAACAAGAAAGCACCGGCUAACUACGUG